rnacentral:siRNA from 1 species
AGGCCGCAUGUCCAAAUAGAUGGC